rnacentral:lncRNA from 1 species
CAUUAGACGAUCUUGAUUUUGCUGAUGAUCUUGCUCUUUUAUCUCAUACCCACCACCAUUUACAAGAGAAGACAAACCGCCUAAAUACUUUUGCUAGUCAAGUUGAACUUAAAAUCAGCCAAACCAAAACUGAAGUCAUGACGCUUAACAUCAAUAACCCAACUCCUAUCCUAGUAGAUGGAAAAGAUCUCUCCAUCACAAAAACAUUUACAUACCUAGGAAGUACAAUAAGAAACGAUGGAGGUGCAGGAAAUGACAUAAUGAACAGAUUGAACAAAGCCAGGAAUAUAUUUAGAUCACUUAACAAUGUAUGGAAAUCAUCCCAGUAUAGUAAGAAGACCAAACUAAAACUGUACCAGAGUUGUGUACUAUCUACUCUGUUAUACGGAUCAGAAUGCUGGAGGAUGACAGAAGUCGAUCUAAACAAACUGUCAGUUUUCCAUACCAAAAGCUUAAGAAGAAUCCUGCGCAUUUUCUGGCCAAACAAAAUAUCUAAUGAAGAUCUUCUAAACCAGUGUCAGCAAAAUAGCAUGGGUACAAUAUUAGUGAGAAGGCGUUGGAAAUAGAUUGGGCAUGUCGUCAGAAGAGAUAGUAAUUCCAUCACUAGAACAGCAUUAAAUUGGACUCCAGAAGGAAGGCGUAAGCGAGGAAGACUAAAAAACACAUGGAGACGUACUGUAAAAGGAGAACUGAAGACCAUGAACAAAACAUGGGGAACAGUAGAAAAGAUGGCCAAAGACAGACAGAAAUGGAGAACCUUU